rnacentral:rRNA from 1 species
GACCCAGACUCCUACGGGAGGCAGCAGUGGGGAAUAUUGCACAAUGGGGGGAACCCUGAUGCAGCGACGCCGCGUGGGUGAAGGAGCACCUCGGUGCGUAAAGCCCUAUCGGCAGGGAAGAAACAGACGGUACCUGACUAAGAAGCCCCGGCUAACUACGUGCCAGCAGCCGCGGUAAUACGUAGGGGGCAAGCGUUAUCCGGAUUUACUGGGUGUAAAGGGGGCGCAGACGGCGAUGCAAGCCAGGAGUGAAAGCCCGGGGCCCAACCCCGGGACUGCUCUGGAAACUGCGGCGCUGGAGUACGGGAGGGGCAGGCGGAAUUCCUGGUGUAGCGGUGAAAUGCGUAGAUAUCAGGAGGAACACCGGCGGCGAAGGCGGCCUGCUGGACCGUGACUGACGUUGAGGCUCGAGAGCGUGGGGAGCAAACAGGAUUAGAUACCCGCGUAAA